rnacentral:rRNA from 1 species
UACGUAGGUCCCGAGCGUUGUCCGGAUUUAUUGGGCGUAAAGCGAGCGCAGGCGGUUUGAUAAGUCAGAAGUAAAAGGCUGUGGCUCAACCAUAGUACGCUUUUGAAACUGUCAAACUUGAGUGCAGAAGGGGGGAGUGGAAUUCCAUGUGUUGCGGUGAAAUGCGUAGAUAUAUGUAGGAACACCGGUGGCGAAAGCGGCUCUCUGGUCUGUAGCUGACGCUGAGGCUCGAAAGCGUGGGGAGCGAACAGG